GACGGAGGAUGCAAGCGUUAUCCGGAAUGAUUGGGCGUAAAGCGUCUGUAGGUGGCUUUUUAAGUCCGCCGUCAAAUCCCAGGGCUCAACCUCGAACUUGCGGUGGGUACGGGCAGACUAGAGUGUGGUAGGGGAGACUGGAAUUCCUGGUGUAGCGGUGAAAAUGCGCAGAUAUCAGGAGGAACACCGAUGGCGAAGGCAGGUCUCUGGGCCACUACUGACGCUGAGAAGCGAAAGCAUGGGGAGCAACAGG
rnacentral:rRNA from 1 species